rnacentral:lncRNA from 1 species
GGGAGAGACGAGGGUACCUUCCCACGCCUCUCUCCGGGAAGGCGUUGAGUCAACUGGCUUUUUCUUUGGGUGGGAACCAUUCGGGAUGGAGACCUCUGGCAGCUGAUGGUGAGGAUGAGCAUUUCUCCAGGUGCCCCUCCAUCAUAUCACUAACUGAGUCAGCACCAUGAGAAGCAGAUGGGGUGUUGCAGGGUUGCUACUUCUAGCCAUCAAGGUCUCGGGGCUGAAAACAGGUGAUCUAGAUGCCACUAUGGGCCUACAGUGUUUCCAACCAUUUCACAGCAAGUUUGUGAACUGCAGCUGGCUGACCUGGGAAUCUCAAAAUGCUAACGCCAUCUAUGUCCUUCACUAUGAGAGCCUAAAGUUGGGCAAACUGCUGCCGUUAGUGAGCCUUUAUAUUGAGUUAUAGUACAAAUAUCCAAAUUAAUAAGCCAUUGUCUUUUUCAACCAGAACCUUCUGUGCUGGCCAGUGUAAUCUAUGGCUAAAUGACUUUAUUUGGGAAGUAUAGGGAAUUGCAGAGCAAAGGAAUACCUAUUAGGAUUUUAUAGUUUCAUGAAUGAAGGUUUUGGUCUAGAUGGGCCAAUAUUGGAGAAGUAUGGAAUAUUAAGGAAAAAUAAUGGAAGUUGAUUUGUCAGUUGAUUUGAGUGGAUUGGGAGCUCUGAAGAGAGAUUUUUAGAAGGGCACAUAGGAAC